GCGUGAGCGAUGAAGGCCUUAGGGUUGUAAAGCUCUUUUACCCGGGAUGAUAAUGACAGUACCGGGAGAAUAAGCCCCGGCUAACUCCGUGCCAGCAGCCGCGGUAAUACGGAGGGGGCUAGCGUUGUUCGGAAUUACUGGGCGUAAAGCGCACGUAGGCGGCGAUUUAAGUCAGAGGUGAAAGCCUGGAGCUCAACUCCAGAACUGCCUUUGAGACUGGAUUGCUAGAAUCUUGGAGAGGCGGGUGGAAUUCCGAGUGUAGAGGUGAAAUUCGU
rnacentral:rRNA from 1 species